CACAAGUUCCUCAAACAACUGUGGUAAGAAUCUUUCAUCAAGCACGGUCAGCAAUGUUGAAAGCAGGAGUCUCAAAAAUAUGCCAUCUACGCAGGGGACUGAGCGGGAUACCUGCAGAGGAAUUGGCACAUAAGUGUUCCAAAUCAUCCGCAGCUGACAACAGUUAGCGGAGGCUUGGUUUUCCCUGUUCUACAGCAAGCAGCAGAUAUAAAGCGGGAGAGAAGCAUUGCUCAGGAGGAGUUACUUAUCUGCUAUCCCAGCGACGUGAUUGUGCUUUCUUUUUGCUGUUGAGCAAUCUGUGAAAUGUAAACCUAAUGAGUGGGUACAUCAACUUUACUGUUUAAACUCGGCGUGAGUCUAUUUCUUGUAGGGAGAUGGGUGCCGAUUUAUUUGGGUUUAUCCCCUACUUCACUUUUUUCUCCUGUUUUUCUUUAGUUAGGGAGAGAGGUAAGAUUGUUGUCUUUAAUUUGGUUUUCUGUUGCCAGGGAAGUUAUUUUUGCUUAACCCUUAGUUAGACUGUUUUGUUUGUUAUUUUGACCUUUGCUCUCUCACGGCGCUUUAGUUAAGUUGUUUAAUUGUCAAUACAUUCGUAUGGUUUCUACAUGUUGUUGUUGUUGUUGUUGUUAUUUUUAAACCCUUAAUAAAAACUCGUAAAUGUG